UGCCCCAUGGCUCAGUUGGUUAGAGCGUGUGACUGUUAUAAGCAAUUGUUCGUUUAUCUAGACAUCACAAGGUCCUGAGUUCAAGCCUCAGUGGGGCAG